GCUGUCGUCAGCUCGUGUUGUGAAAUGUUGGGUUAAGUCCCGCAACGAGCGCAACCCUUAUCCUUGUUUGCCAGCGAGUAAUGUCGGGAACUCCAGGGAGACUGCCGGUGAUAAACCGGAGGAAGGUGGGGACGACGUCAAGUCAUCAUGGCCCUUACGAGUAGGGCUACACACGUGCUACAAUGGCGCAUACAGAGGGCGGCCAACUUGCGAAAGUGAGCGAAUCCCAAAAAGUGCGUCGUAGUCCGGAUUGGAGUCUGCAACUCGACUCCAUGAAGUCGGAAUCGCUAGUAAUCGUGGAUCAGAAUGCCACGGUGAAUACGUUCCCGGGCCUUGUACACACCGCCCGUCACACCAUGGGAGUGGGCUGCAAAAGAAGUGGGUAGUUUAACCUUCGGGAGGACGCUCACCACUUUGUGGUUCAUGACUGGGGUGAAGUCGUAACAAGGUAGCGCUAGGGGAACCUGGCGCUGGAUCACCUCCUUAUACGAUGAU
rnacentral:rRNA from 1 species